CGGCGCGCGCCGAGCCGGCUCCGCGGCGGACGCGAGCGCGGAAGCGCGAGGAAUCCUUGGAAUGAGGCGCCGCCCGCCCUCAGCCGGGCUCUGCCGGGCUCCGCCUGGCCCGCCAGGACACGCCCCCGGACACGCCCCUCCCACCGAGCAGGUGGGCGGCCGAGCCCAGAAAUGGCAUCAAUCUGAUCUACCUUGAAGUGGAGUGUCCGUGAGGGUCUGUGAGGGCCUGUGACAUCAGGCACAGUCCAGCGAGGAGGAAGGAUAGGACAAGGGAGAGUGGGAACUACAGGAUAUAUAACACAGCUGUCAGCAAGUGAAGGUGGGGAGGCACCAAGAUUCUGACCAAUGCAACACUUGGAAAGGCCCUCAGGAGUUCAGUCAGAGUCCACAAAUGAGCCUCACCUCCACCAUGACCCAACACGAAUUUUACCCUUCACCCAAUUGGAUGGAGUCCAGUGAUAGGACCAUUUUGAGUAGUAGUAACCCAAGCCUCAAAUUGUCUGUGGAAUUCAAUGAAGGUGAUAUUCCAAGGUUUGGAGCAGUACCAUUUGAAACCUGUCAAGGAGUCAGUGGAAAGUGAACUGUGGAUAUCAACAAGGUCUUGGCUCCCCAGCAUCUAGAGGUCCUUCCUAUUUGGGAGAAAUUCUUCAUUGGCUACGUUUACAGAAGCCGAAGGGCGCCCCAUGACCCCUCCCUGAGCCAGGAGGUGGGCAAAUGGUCUAGGCUCAGCCAACUGGAUGUUCCUGCCCAGGAUCUUGGUGAUGGCAAUAUCAAGAGUCCUGGAAUGGUAAUGCCCGGGCCAAAGUGGGGAAUCCAGUGCUGGGACAGUCAUAGCUCCCCCUCUGCCCCAGAUGGUUCUGGGGAAGCCCUGACCACCCUCUCCAGCUCUGACCAGUUUGGUUCUCUACUCUUCCCACCUGUUUUUCAGCCACCCAAUCCCCAUCCAACAAACUCCAUUUCUGCUUAUAUUACCAGAGACCAACCAUUUCUGCUCACUAUAACCCAGAGCCCUAGCUUAACAUUAAGUAAUUUGCACACCCCCAACAAAGAACAGAAAUUCCGGACUCCCAGAGUUGAUGUACAUUGUUCUUGUUCCCGUGUACCUUGAAUAUGUAUAACCUCCUUAGAGGCUUGUACCUAGGUCUUAAGCAGCUAUCGAACACAAACACCUUAGCAAGGUAAAUACAAGCAAUGCCACCAAAUCACCAAUGUUGACAUUAACAGCAUGGACCUAAUAUGACAGAUGGUGCUGCUUUAUUAAAUUACAUAGCUGUUAAUAAUAGGAAUGUGAAACUGACUGAUAUGGGCUCGUGUGUUUUCAUUUUACUACUACCAUGGGCCACUUGAUGACUUAACUCUUCUAACCUCUUUUUUCCAUUCAAACCUCAGUGAACACUCAUUCAUACAGCUGAUCUUGAGGUCAUUUGCUCUUUACUUUGCAUGGGUGCACCAUUCACUAGUGAAGACUACUAAUGUUCUUUGGCUCUUUGGGCUGGGACCAUUAAAAUUGUUCUACUCAGCUCUAAUGCCAUUGCAAACAUAAAUGCAGAUGCAGGGGCUCAAUCAGCUAGAAGAGUCAUCCAGACAACCCAAUAUUUGCUUGUAUCAAUUUUUUAAAGGUUAACAUCAAGAAUACUAAAUUUUAAAAAUUCUCCUACAAAACUCAUAAAUUCCUAAGACUACAUUUGUAAACCUCAGUUUCAGAAAUCAUGGCAAUGUAGUUAAGGAGCAUAAGCUUUAAAAAAAGGAGUGUAAACUUUGGAGUUAAAGGAAAAAAAUUCUGGUUUUGAAUCCUAACCCCAUCCUUUAAGAGUCUUGGAAUGGUGAGCAAGUUGUAAUCUGAGCCUUAAUUUUCUUACCUGUAGAAUGGAACAGUAAUACCUAUCUUUCAGGACAGUGGUAUUAAACAAGAUAAUUGUGUAACUAUAAUAAAUGGUAGUCAUUAUUGUUAUAGGUAUCCUAAUUGACAUUCAAAUUGGUUAACAUAGUUGCCCCAGUUCAUACAACCAUUUGGUCCCAGAAACAGACCUGGAGCCCAGAUCCCCUCAACACCUCAAAUCUUGUUUUUAAAAGCAUCUGUGCUGGAGUACCUGGGUGGCUCAGUCGUUAAGCAUCUGCCUUUGGCUCAGGUCAUGAUCCUGGGGUCCUGGGAUCGAGCCCUGCAUUAGGCUCCCUGCUCCGUGGGAAGCCUGCUUCUCCCUCUCCCACUCCCCCUGCUUGUGUUCCCUCUCUCGCUGUGUCUCUCUCUGUCAAAUAAAGAAAUAAAAUCUUUAAAAAAAAAAAAAAAGGCAUCUGUGCUGAGCAAGGCGAGGCCCCUAGGGGCAAGCUGCCUACCUUUUAGGGCUGUGCUCCUAGAAAGCUGCUGUGUCUGAGACAUUUGCACUCUGCAGGAAAUUAUUCAUUCCAGGUUAAUUUCGUGGAUGAUCAUUCAAAAACACAUGAUCACAUUAUUCCCCUACUUGGAAACUAUCCAUUAUACCUAUGGUUCUCCAAAUGGGGUCCCCUGAUCAACAGGGACUUAUUAGAAAUGCAAAUGCAAAUUCUCAGGCCUGAUCCCAGACAUACUCCAGCAGAAGCUCUGGUGGUAAGGACCAGUGUUCUGUGUUUCACUGAGCCCCUCGGAUGAUCCUGAAGCAUGCUAAAGUUUAAAAACUCCUGCAUGAUAGGACCAAGUCCAUACUUCCUUAGCACAGCAUUCAAGUCUCUUCCUGUGCUGGUCCCAGGCUACUCUUCUAGCCUCCUCUCCGAACACUCCUGAAAACACUUUAUGCUCCAGCACCAUCAGACUUUACUUUCUGUCUUAAACGUGACAGGCCCUCUUAUGCCUUAGUACGUGCAGUGCAUUUCCCUCUACUGGGCAUUUCUCCAAAAAGUCUCUUCCUCUGUGAAGCUUUCCCUGAUUGCUUCAAGGCUGGAUGUGUGGCUCUGCAGCCUCUGUGUCAUAUUUCUAUUGCAUAUACAGGGGUUGAUCACACUGUAUUGUCUCUCACUAGUUACUGAGACCGCUAGUUACCAAUCAUUAUCCAGGUUCUCCCUGCCCCAGCAAGAGAAUGCUGAUUUCCCAGCUCCCUUGCAAGACAGGAGUGGUCAACGAGAUGCAAACAGAAGCUGAUGGGUUUUGGGGGUGCUUGAUGAUUCAGCUGGCAGGUACUCUGCUGCUCUCCUCUCCUUCCUCCUUAUACGAGCCAAGCUGCAUUGCCCACCUUGCAACCAUGGGUAAGCUUGAGGCUGGGGAGACCAUGCUAAGGAUGGCAGAGAAAAAAACAUAGCAGGAGCCUGGGAUGUUGGUGACAUUGUGAGGCCACUGCACCAUCUCUGGACCUUUGUCCCCUGGCUUUAGGUUACAUGAUAUUCAAAUAAAUCCCUUUCUUCCCUUCCCCUUUUCUUUCCUUCCUUCCUCCCUCCCUCCCUCCCUCGCUCCCUUCCUCCCUCCCUGUGGCUCUCUCUCUCUCUCUCCCCCUCC